AAGUCUGUCUUGUGACAGCCCGCCCACGAGGGGGCGUGGCCUCCUGGAACCACGCCUUCUGGGAGGCGUGAUCGGAGGCGUGGCCUGCGGCGCGCGGGAAGCUGCGGGCAGUGGCGGCUCUGAGUGGACCGAGUCCUAGCAGGGUCGCUGUUGAACUCUUUGCUAACAUUCCCAGCCUCCCUUUGCCUGGCGGAGACUCUGGAGGAUGAAAGUGAUCACGUGUGAAAUCGCCUGGCACAACAAGGAGCCAGUGUACAGCCUUGACUUCCAGCAUGCGGCAGCCUGUAGGAUCCAAAGGCUGGCGUCCGCGGGGGUGGACACCGCCGUUAGGAUCUGGAAGGUGGAGAAGGGGCCAGAUGGAAAAGCCAUUGUGGAAUUCCUCUCCAACCUUGCUCGGCACACCAAAGCUGUCAAUGUUGUACGCUUUUCUCCAACUGGGGAGAUUUUAGCAUCUGGAGGAGACGAUGCCGUCAUCCUGCUGUGGAAGAUGAAUGACAGCAAGGAGCCGGAGCAGAUCGCCUUUCAGGAUGAAGAUGAGGCUCAGCUGAACAAGGAGAACUGGACUGUGGUAAAAACCCUGAGGGGCCACUUAGAAGAUGUGUAUGAUAUAUGCUGGGCAACUGAUGGGAAUAUGAUGGCCUCUGCUUCUGUGGAUAACACAGUUAUCAUAUGGGAUGUCAGUAAAGGACAGAAGAUUUCCAUUUUCAACGAGCAUAAAAGUUACGUGCAAGGAGUGACCUGGGAUCCUCUGGGUCAAUAUAUCGCGACCCUGAGUUGUGACAGGGUGCUGCGGGUCUAUAGCACCCAGAAGAAACGUGUGGCUUUCAACGUUUCAAAGAUGCUCUCUGGACAAGGGCCCGAAGGAGAGGCGAGAAGUUUCCGGAUGUUUCACGAUGACAGCAUGAAGUCGUUCUUCCGAAGACUCAGUUUUACUCCAGAUGGAUCUUUGCUCCUCACUCCAGCUGGAUGUAUGGAGUCUGGUGAGAAUGUGACAAACACCACUUAUGUGUUCUCCAGAGAACAUCUGAAAAGGCCGAUUGCCCACCUUCCAUGCCCUGGGAAAGCGACCCUUGCUGUCCGAUGCUGUCCUGUGUACUUUGAACUGAGGCCAGUGGCAGAAACAGAGAAAGCGUCAGAGGAGCCCAGCCCCGAGCUGGUGAGUCUGCCCUACCGUAUGGUGUUCGCAGUGGCCUCGGAGGACUCUGUGCUGCUGUAUGACACGCAACAGUCUUUCCCAUUUGGUUAUGUGUCUAACAUCCAUUACCAUACCCUGAGUGACAUUUCCUGGUCCAGCGAUGGGGCCUUCCUGGCUGUGUCCUCCACGGAUGGUUAUUGCUCAUUCGUGACCUUUGAGAAAGGUGAACUAGGCGUGCCUUUGAAGGAGAAGCCGGUUCUGGGCGUAAGAACUCCUGACACAGCAAAGAAAACCAAGAACCAGAACCCCCAGGGAUCUUCGCCAGGAUCCAGAUCAGCCGAAGGAACCCCCAGCAACAGAAUCCAGGACCCCAGCAGCCCCUGUACCACCCCCUCACCAACCACACAGUCUCCAGCCCCGCCCGCCAUCAAGGACAGUCCCUCAGCCAUCCCUGCCGGCAAAAGCCCCUUGCCACGGCCUUCUGAGGAGAAGACCCUGCAGCCUGCCGCUCAAAACAUGAAAGCCCCCCAACCCCGCAGGGUCACACUGAACACGCUGCAGUCUUGGGGCAAGACGGCCCCCCGCCUCAGCAGUCCUGUCCACGUGAGACCAAUCCAGGUGGUCUGAUGGUACCACCUCCAAGCACUUGGGAGGACAAGGCGGGGGAACUGUGAGUCGGGGCGUCCAGAAGCACGAGAGAAUAAAUUUAACACCGUUGAGGGCAGACACUGCACCAAAUCCACUGCCCAGUAGCGGGGCCGCCCCCUCCACAGAAGAGGUCCAGCCAGAGGUGCCUGGAGAGCCCCAGGAUGAGCCUCCCGAACUGAA